rnacentral:rRNA from 1 species
UACGUAGGGGGCAAGCGUUAUCCGGAUUUACUGGGUGUAAAGGGAGCGUAGACGGCAAUGCAAGUCUGGAGUGAAAGGCGGGGGCCCAACCCCCGGACUGCUCUGGAAACUGUAUGGCUGGAGUGCAGGAGAGGUAAGUGGAAUUCCUAGUGUAGCGGUGAAAUGCGUAGAUAUUAGGAGGAACACCAGUGGCGAAGGCGGCUUACUGGACUGUAACUGACGUUGAGGCUCGAAAGCGUGGGGAGCAAACAGG